rnacentral:ncRNA from 1 species
AAAAGUUUGGUCCUAGCUUUAUCAUCAACUACAUCUUAACUUACACAUUGCAAGUCUCAGCAUACCUGUGAGGACGCCCUUCCACCUAUACCAGAAGAAAGAGCAGGCAUCAGGCACAAAACCCUAGCCUAAGACACCAAGUUCCGCCACAUCCAUAAGGACAUGCAGCAGUGAUUAACAUUAUAUAUAAGCGACAGCUUGACUUAGUUAAAGACAUUAAGAGCCGGCUAACCUGUGUGCCAGCCGCCGCGGCUAAACCAGGGACUCAAGUUGAUAAUACUCGGCGUCAAGGGUGAUAUUAAGAUUUUAUUAAUUAAAGUUAAACAAGGGUCCAGUUGUUAUAAGCCUACCCCUUAGAAGACCAAAUAUAUAAAUUACUCUAACUACUACUUGAUACACGACAGCUAAGAUACAAACUAGGAUUAGAUACCCUACUAUGCUUAGCCAUAAAUUUAAACCACACUUUUAACCGCCUGGGUACUACGAGCCACGCUUGAAACCCAAAGGACUUGACGGUGACCUAUCCGACUAGAGGAGCCUGUUCUAUAAUUGAUAAUCCCCGAUUCACCCCUCCUUCAUUAGCACUUACAGCCUGUAUACCUCCGUCGCAAGCCUACCGUAUGAGCGCCAAAUAGUGAGCUUAAUUAACCACCUUAAAUACGUCAGGUCAAGGUGCAGCUUAUGUAAAGGAAAGUAAUGGGCUACAAUUUCUAUGAUAGAAUAUACGUAAAGUUACAUGAAAUUGUAACCUAAGGCGGAUUUAGUAGUAAGAGAAGAAUAGAGGGCCUCUCUUAAUAUGGACCUAGGUCGCGUACAAACCGCCCGUCACCCUCUUCAAUAUAACCUAUUUAUAACUAAUAAUGACUUAUAUUAAAGAAGAGGCAAGUCGUAACAUGGCAAGUGUACUGGAAAGUGCACUUGGAUUAA